rnacentral:lncRNA from 1 species
UAAACGAGCAACAUUACUAGAAAUAGUUCUACAAGUAUUCCAGAAUUAAUGAAUAUACAGAAAAAAAUAAUUUAAAAAAGAAUAAAAAAGAAAGAAGAGUACCUGAAUCGAAGAAGGUUUGACAAUAGUGAAAGAGAAAGACAAGCUUCGAUUCGUGAGAGUAGAGGCCGGAAAAAGAAGGACAAUAGUGAGAGCGGAGAGAAUUUUCAAUUUGUUUCCCUUAUAGCUUCGAUUUGGAGUUAGGGUUCAAGUGAGAAGCUUCGAUUUGACGAGUGACAGAGAGAGAGAGAGGACAACUGAGAUAAGGCGGUGGUGGUGAGUUGAUUUUAGGUUGCUGAGGGUUCAAUCGUUGUCGGCGGUAGAGGACGGCGCUGAGGGUUUGUUCAUCGCGAGUUGAUUUGGGUCGAGNNNNNNNCUACCUCAUUCACUUAUUGGUUCCAAAAAUAUUAAUUUUUUUUUUUAUUCAACCUGACUUUUUACAUCUGUGGCUAAAUAUGGCCAGAUAUAUAUAUAUUUUAGAUAAUUUUCAUCAUAAUUACAAGAUUGUCACCGCGUUCAGUUAUGUUUCUGGUACAUUGAAACCAGAUGUAAAAAGUCUUGUCUAUAUAUUUU